GAUGCGGGCCGGGCCCCUCUGGCGGUGGAUGCAAAUCCGCCGCGAUGUCGGACCGCAUCG
rfam:Sphingobium ummariense RL-3 contig120, whole genome shotgun sequence.